CCCCGGGGCAGACCUCACUUUCUGCGGUGGAGAGCUGCGGUGUCCCGUGAGCUGGCCUGGCCGCCCGUGGCCGCGAAAGGCCCAGGGCUUUGUGAAUGGGCUCGGGCCCAGAACUCAGGUGGCGCGAAGAAAGACGCGUGACGUGGGAACCCGCGUCCUCACUGAAUACGUGGCGCGUGGGGCCCACCUCCUGGGAGCAGAAAUUCUGGAGCAGGAUUUCAGUGAUUAGAGCACAUUUAAAGUUAUUCAGUGAUGAUGACGCUCACUCACAUGUUUGGCAUCCACUUUGGACGGAGACAGAGGGUGGGUUCCAGCCCAGCGAACAGAGCCUGUGUGGGAACUUGUCCACCAGCCCGCGGUCUGUCACCGGUGUCCCGCACACAAAAUAUCGGGGAUCACUACUCUGGAGGACAAACUUUGGGCCUUUCAUAACUUCAUCUAGUUUCCACUGAAAAUACAGAUUUUUACUGGACAGAAAUAUGUCCAAAUAUUAGGCAAACCAGUGAAGCAGAAUUUUGAAACAAUGAAGGUUAUGGGCUGAACCUGAAUAACAUCAUAUCUUUGGAGAGUCACACCCGUUUCAUGCAGAAUCAGCUAUUACCAUACAGGAGAAACUGGUGACAUUUUUGGAAUUACCUACAUGGCUUUCAUUUUCCUGAAAUUGAGUUGCAACAUCCAAGGUAAGCCAUCCACUUUUCUUCACUCAACA